UCCCGGGCUGAUAACUGGAUGGUUUGAUCGGGCAGUAAAAUGCGUUAAUACCAGUCCCAUACUGUCUUUUAAUUGUCCGGGAGAGCGAAUUUAUGAGAAAAUGCUUCUUACACGACUUAUUACUUUUACCUAUGUUUUAAAGCCGUUUACUUUUUCCCAACAAUC
rnacentral:snoRNA from 1 species